ensembl:rRNA 5S_rRNA 5S ribosomal RNA
GCUUACGGCCAUAUCACUCUGAAAAGCCUGAUCUCAUCUGACCUUGGAAGCAAAGCAGAGUUGGGCCUGGUUAGUACUUGGUUGGGAGACUGAAUGGGAAUACUAGGUGCUGGUAAGCU